CAAAAAAAAAGAAGUCUCCAACUUAGUCCCAGAGAAGGGCUGCAAGUUACCAUAGUGCUCCAAAUUGUUGGAUUCAGAGUUGAACAUAUCAUCUUUGCAUUUGAUCAUCCAUUCGUCAUUUCCAGUCCACAUUUCACCAAUUGAUUCCAGAGCACUGCAGAAGGAAUUCAGUACCUACACAUCAAUCUGCUCGAGGGAAGGAUAGAGCGCGUGUAGAUCCUUCAGAGUCAAUAUCAACAGCUGUGGACAAUCUCCAGUCCAAAACCAGAUUAGAACCCAGUUAAUCAGAAACAAGAGUUCAACUUACCAAUGUGAAGCAAUCAGAUAGAGAGUACUACCUCAUGUACAGAUGCAGAGCCAAUGCAGGGAGACAAAUCGAGCAGGUCCCUCAAGAAAACUUCUUCCUGCGGAAAGAGAAAGGAGAAACACCAUAGCAUGCUCCAAUUGCCAUCUCCAAUCUGAAAAAGCUUUUGCAUAGCCAGCCACGAAGUUGCAUGGUAGAAUAAUCAAUAUAAUAGUUUAACUUUUUACUGGCAAUAAACUUUCUUGGGUUCAGGCAACUCAGACCAUGACGACGGAAGAAACGGAAGAUUGAGGACAAGAGAAAGAUUAUGAUAAUGAUGCUGUCUGUUGUCUAGGUCUGGCUUUGGAAAGCAUACAUGGAUACCUCUUUUCUCCUUCGUUUUCAACAGAGAGAAAAAAGAAAGUGGAAUUGG